rnacentral:sRNA from 1 species
CUUUUUGCACACACACGAAUACAAAGAGCCAUACGACCUUCGGGUAUCCUUUUUCCAUUUUUUUUCCUCCUUAAUCUUGUGUGUGUUUUCAAAUUUUUAAAAAAUAGAGAUCUGUAGCAGUGUUGGGAAUGUCUUACUACCCUAUCAGUUCAUCCUAUACAUUGCUCAAGGCUCAACUGGAAGCUUUUCUUCUUUUCAGGUUUAGCUGUGUCUCCCAGUGACUAUAAUGACAAGGAAGCUGUAAAUGUAUUUGAGUUAAGUUUUUGCGAGAAAUGCCGGAAGGUCCUUCUGAAUCCCUUCCCUGUUCCUUAGGUUGCACUAGUCGGGGGUUCCAUGCUGGGGGGCAGAAGGAAUGCUCUCUACCCUCUGAAACCGUUCAUCAGGAAGGCCUUGAUUUGUGAUGUGCUAGGAGAGCACAGGAUCUGCAAAUAGAAGGCACCUGUCUUCCUUCUGCAGGCCGAGGAGAGGCCGCCAUGGACUGUGUGCUUCUUCAUGGCUUGUCUACUCUUCUUUCACAGACCCUACAGCUUGGGGCCUGGGCUCCUCUGACCAUCCUCAUUGAGAAAGGAAAG